rnacentral:rRNA from 1 species
GACGAACGCUGGCGGCGUGCUUAACACAUGCAAGUCGAACGGAAAGGCCCUGCUUUUGUGGGGUGCUCGAGUGGCGAACGGGUGAGUAACACGUGAGUAACCUGCCCUUGACUUUGGGAUAACUUCAGGAAACUGGGGCUAAUACCGGAUAGGAGCUCCUGCUGCAUGGUGGGGGUUGGAAAGUUUCGGCGGUUGGGGAUGGACUCGCGGCUUAUCAGCUUGUUGGGGGGGUAGUGGCUUACCAAGGCUUUGACGGGUAGCCGGCCCGAGAGGGUGACCGGGCACAUUGGGACUGAGAUACGGCCCAGACUCCUACGGGAGGCAGCAGUGGGGAAUAUUGCACAAUGGGCGGAAGCCUGAUGCAGCAACGCCGCGUGCGGGAUGACGGCCUUCGGGUUGUAAACCGCUUUCGCCUGUGACGAAGCGUGAGUGACGGUAAUGGGUAAAGAAGCACCGGCUAACUACGUG